GAUGAACGCUGGCGGCGUGCCUAACACAUGCAAGUCGAGCGAGGGUUUGCUCAGUAUUGAGUAUUCUAAGACUAGAAUGUUCAAUUCUGAGCAAAACCAAGCGGCGGACGGGUGAGUAACGCGUGGGUAACCUGCCCUAUACACAUGGAUAACAUACUGAAAAGUUUACUAAUACAUGAUAAUAUAUAUUUGCGGCAUCGCAGAUAUAUCAAAGUGUUAGCGGUAUAGGAUGGACCCGCGUCUGAUUAGCUAGUUGGUGAGAUAACUGCCCACCAAGGCGACGAUCAGUAGCCGACCUGAGAGGGUGAUCGGCCACAUUGGAACUGAGACACGGUCCAAACUCCUACGGGAGGCAGCAGUGGGGAAUAUUGCACAAUGGGCGAAAGCCUGAUGCAGCAACGCCGCGUGAACGAUGAAGGUCUUCGGAUCGUAAAGUUCUGUUGCAGGGGAAGAUAAUGACGGUACCCUGUGAGGAAGCCCCGGCUAACUACGUGCCAGCAGCCGCGGUAAUACGUAGGGGGCUAGCGUUAUCCGGAUUUACUGGGCGUAAAGGGUGCGUAGGUGGUCCUUCAAGUCGGUGGUUAAAGGCUACGGCCCAACCGUAGUAAGCCGCCGAAACUGGAGGACUUGAGUGCAGGAGAGGAAAGUGGAAUUCCCAGUGUAGCGGUGAAAUGCGUAGAUAUUGGGAGGAACACCAGUAGCGAAGGCGGCUUUCUGGACUGCAACUGACACUGAGGCACGAAAGCGUGGGUAGCAAACAGG
rnacentral:rRNA from 1 species